CUAUAUCCUUACUGGCUCUUGGGUCUGAUUUCCGCACGUCAAGAGCUGCUUGUGUCCUGGGAGGAGAGCGAGCCGUUCCCUGUGUCUGUCAGAGGAGUGAAGGUGCCAAAAUGCCGGCCCAGCUGGGCAGGCAACACGCUGCCAAAGAGAGGGGAAGGAGAACUCCCGUUCCUGCUUCUAGUAGUCCUUUCUGCUGGAGCCUUUCUCUGGAUAUUGGCAGCUUGGAAAAAUGACAGUCCUGCAGGAACUCACCGGUUUGCCUGGAGGGGAAGAGGCAGGAGCUGAAAAUGACAAUUAUUCGGCUCUCAAAUAAUAAUAGAAUAACAGAUACUGCUGUAUCUCCAUUCCCUAUUUGUUGCCAGGAAAUUGUGCAGCUGCCAAGAGAUGCAGUCGAGGAGGUGGUGGAACGCUCCACCUGGAUGCCCAGUUGGACUCUAAAAACCAUGGGUAUGUAGGCAGACAGCUUCACUACCCUCACCUUUGCCUCUGGCACUCCUCAAAGCCUGCCAAGCUGUGCUUUCUGUCAGAGUUUUCUCAUAGAGCUUUAGGACGGCUGAGGUCUGAACGGACAUUACAGACCAUCCCAGUCCAACUCCCUGCCGUUGGAUGACAGGGCUGCCACCCUUUCCAUCACGCUGCUCAGGGACCCCAUCCAACCCGGUCUCCAACGCCUCGAGGAAUGGGGAAUCCAUGGCUUCUCUGGGCAGCACAUUGCAGUGGGCAGGGUCAAGGAUUUCCUCCUGACGUCCCAUCUAAAUCUCCCCUCUCUGACAAUGGAAAAAGCCUUCACCUGUGCUCCCAGGGCUGACUGGCUCCUUUCCCCAGGCGCUCAAUCAGCGGUCAGAGAAGGAAGAUACGGCACAGAAGUCACGGGAUCUGGCUCACACUCUCUCUCUGGCAGCCAGGCAGAGGGGUGGGUGUGCUUCCAAGCCGUGCGCCUUCAUUCAAGUAGGCCUUUCAGUUUCAGAAACUUUCUCUAUUUUAUAUGAUUUAUUACCCUUACUUUCAAUUGGAUUGUAUUAUAUUGCAUUGUCUUGCAUUCUGAUACCAUAGUUAGUAAAGUAAGUUUUCCUCC
rnacentral:lncRNA from 1 species